rnacentral:tRNA from 1 species
GAGAGAGAUCCGCGCAGGAACUGCUAAUUCCUAGCCCCCAGGACUAACAGCCUGGCCCUCUCGUCGUGG